CUGAGACAGAUGACAUUUGUGAUGGGUGACCCCGACGCAGCCAGAGGCUACUGUAAACUCCACCUCCUUGUGUGUGACCAACCGGCCCCCAAACCUCCAUGCUCCCCCAGGACACCACACACACACCAGAUAUUUCAGGAUGUCGAGUUGUUCUCUGGUGACCUGCUAGAUGACUUGAAAAACAGUACAGGGAGUUUCAGACAGAGUUCAACAGAUAAAGCUGAUCCUGUCAUGGUGAGUAGCUAUGACAAGGAGACUUUACUGUACGUUCUGUCAUGUGGUUGAUGUAAAGCCAUGGGAGUCAGCUCAAUUUAGACAAAAGCCACUGAUUUGUCUGGGUUUGAAUUCUUUAAUCUCUUUUGAAUGCAUUACAGGAUAAUGGUUCCCUCACAUGUGCUUCGUACAGAAUUCCAGUGGUAACAGUUAUAGUAAUCUACUCUUUUAUGGAACACAAUGAAAGGCAAAUAAGUGACAGAUGGAAUGGGUGUUUAGAUGUAUUGCCUAAACAAUCUGGAAAGUGUAUCAUUGAUGGAAGUGAGGUUAGGGAAUUCCACAGAUUUCUCAUUUGUCCCCAUAAAGCCCUAGUUUUAUUUUCCUAAUGGGGAAGGCUGUGAUUCAUUAGAGUCCUGGGAACAGGCCGGGUUCAAAGCCGGCCACUUCAGAGCAGUGUGUGUGCUGAAAACAGCACAGGCUUUGACAAACGCCCCAUUAGGGAGGGAUAUGGGGCUGCCCUUGCCCUGGGUCUCACACACUGCCCUGCAGCUUCCAGAUACAUCAUCAGUACUGUUACCAGCUGGCCUGAAAACUCAUUACCCACCUCGCAGGAUCUACUAUAGGCUUAAAAAUACCAAGUGCAUACUUCAGUAUUAGCUGUGUAUACUUGUUAUUUUGAACAAUUGAGUAGGAGUGUUGAAGUUGCCAUGUUGUGGCUUUAUUGCAGGGUUCCCCAAGUUUUCUGAGCAAAAUUAAAUAAAUCAUUAAAUAAAAAAACAUUUCAUUGUUGGACAUAAAAGACCGUAAAAUCACCAGGAAUUCAGGUCAAAGUGAUUUUAAUUUAGGAAAUAUGUUCCGACCAGCCGCUGAAGGAAAAAUCGUCCCACUGCUGAAUGUAAUUGGGGAUCCUUUCCUAAUUGCAAUAUGGUUGUCCAUGGCUGUAAUGGACUUGGUGAAAUUCUGUUGAAACAGUCUGUGGCUGUACUAUACAUAAAAAAGAUGUACUGCCUUCGUAGAUCUGUGUUACGUACAUAGAAUGUUUGAGAAUCGCGUUAAGGGUUUUCACUGUUUUCUUGAACUGGCCUUGCUUGCUGAGAGUCCUCGAAUGACCCAGAACAUCAGACCUUUAGUACAACAAUGACAGUUCCACCAGUCCAUACCUGUCUAGCCUGUCUUGCUGUAUAGAUCAUCAGUCGACCACUAAAUGAGGGUAAGUCCUGAUUUGUAUCUUGAACUCAAGGUGUUGAGACUUGCAGAUGGCUUUAUGGGCUCCACUUCACUUGUUGAAAGGUCAAACUGUGACAUAACAUUAAUCUUGUGUGACCGUCCAGAUACACUCACUCUCUCCUGUUUAGAUGAGAGAUAUGGGCCACAGAAGGUGUCGAAGAGCCUUUGGAUUGUUACACAGAAGAACUUCAACUCAGGAUCAGAUAAGGACUACAUCUCUAAUCCAUUUACCCAGAACUGAGUCUUGCAGUGAAAGAGAAAGUGAGGCGACUGCUCAUCUGACACAAAGUAGGUUAACCUACUAAUGAACCACAAUUGGGUUCUCAAAUGUCAUUUUUCAUGAAAUGUCCUGUUGGAUCACUGGUAUUAGGAUCUGUACUGUUUUUUGAUCAGAUAUUAUGCAUUUUACCACAAUUUCCACAAAAUUCUCAUUACCUCAACAAUCCAGAAAAGUUACAAACAAGAAAUGCCUGAGUUAAACAUAACACUGAAAAUAAAAAUAUAAAAAGUUAAUUAUUAUAGAAUAAAAUCGGACUUUUUCCCAAUUAAAGCUUUUUUGCCAUUUUGGUAAUGAGAAUGCGAAGUAAAGGGGGUGUUUGAAAAUAAGAACCUCAUUCUGAAGGCUUAUAAGCAAAUAAAUGAACAUAACUUCUAUUAUUCCUCUAGAUGCAUCAUGGGUGAAUAAAACUUUUCUUAAAAAUCGAUUGGAGUUUUUGCAGCAACUUGAAAAAGUGUUAGGUUAAUGACACACAUGUCCACACACACUGUUGGUUCGUAAUAAAUAUUAUGGUUUAAUGUUAACUUCAGCUAGUAUACCAUUGUUAUGAUUUAUGGACAAGCUACAGCAAAAUUAUGUGUUUUAUUAGAAUAUGUUAGGUUUUUCUAAAGUAAAAUUGUCAAAAAUUACCGGAGAUUAUUUUUGGGGGGUUAAUUUUACACAUUUGUUUUUCACGACCGAACCCAUGCUAUUUCAAUAAUAAACCAUUAGAGUUUUCCUUUGGGUUAAUGAUGGUGGAUUGAUUGAUUUCGUUUUUAGUAUACGUUUUUUCAAGAUGAGUGAUGAGAAGAGAAUCGUCCAGCCCAUUGGGUAUCUCACUACACCCCCAUAUGCCAUGUCUUGAAAUGUCCAGACAGACGGAUUAAAAGUAAGUUUACAUUGUAAUACUUCUGACAGCUUUCUAGCUCCACCCAAUACUUCUUUCAUUGUACUCUUAGGACUCGGCCGUUGUGCUGUAGAAUUUUUGAAUUUUUGUCUCUUGUAUAAUAAAUUCUAUACAUGAGUUAUUUACUGGA